AAUCUUUUAUUUAUUCAGAUAUAUUUUUUUUAAGGACCAUAUUUUCUUUUUUUUUUCUUCUUUCUUUCUUUUCAGCCUUCUUAAAUUUUCCUGGUUGAAAUCAUAAUAGGUGGCCAAAGAGAGUUCUCUAUUUUGUGUAUUGGGAGAAAACAAAAAUUUCCGUCAAGGCGGUGUAUUUUGAGAGAAUACCACAAAAUGUUCACUCUUCUAACUUGAUGCAGCUGGCUUCCUCUUUCCCUCCUGUGUCUCUGGCUUCUUCUCUUUUCUAGGAUUGAAUUUCAAACUGUGACGCCUUCCAAAUCUGGUGUAGAUACGAACAAUGAGAUUGAGUGAUAAAAGAUUACCCGAUAUUUCUUCCCAUGAGACAAAGAUAUGGGAAAGCUGGAAUGGAAUUGGUCAGGGAGGGUUGGUUGCCCAGCAGAACUGGAAGAUAAGACCCUCUCACUGAAGACACCACAUAUCUCGAUCUCAAGAUGCAGAAAAUGCCAGCUGGAAAACAGAUGGAUGAAACUCACUUGAAGAUUCCGGUCUUACACUCCAACUUUCUGCAGAUGGUAAACCCAAACUUCAUGUGGGUUCUCCUCAUCUUCACCUUCUUCUCUUUGCUUGAAUAUUUACUCUUCAUUCUAAU